GGGCUGUCACCUUCUCUGCUGGAAACCAGAGCCUGGCAGAGGCCCAGGGUCUCAUGCUCCGCCCAGUGAUCACCGGUCACUCUGAAAUGAGCUGCCCAUCCUUCUCCCUGCCUUGCCUUUCUGCGGCCGGGCGCCAGGCACUGGCAAGAC
rfam:Myotis brandtii contig225839, whole genome shotgun sequence.